rnacentral:rRNA from 1 species
UGGGGAAUUUUGGACAAUGGGCGCAAGCCUGAUCCAGCAAUGCCGCGUGCAGGAUGAAGGCCUUCGGGUUGUAAACUGCUUUUGUACGGAGCGAAAAGGUCUGCCCUAAUACGGUGGGCUCAUGACGGUACCGUAAGAAUAAGCACCGGCUAACUACGUGCCAGCAGCCGCGGUAAUACGUAGGGUGCGAGCGUUAAUCGGAAUUACUGGGCGUAAAGCGUGCGCGGGCGGUUAUAUAAGACAGGUGUGAAAUCCCCGGGCUCAACCUGGGACCUGCAUUUGUGACUGUAUAGCUAGAGUACGGUAGAGGGGGAUGGAAUUCCGCGUGUAGCAGUGAAAUGCGUAGAUAUGCGGAGGAACACCGAUGGCGAAGGCAAUCCCCUGGACCUGUACCGACGCUCAUGCACGAAAGCGUGGGGAGCAAACA